ACAUGCCUACAACAUAGUGUUGAUGCAUCAGAUCCCAUUAGAUCUCCGCAGUUAAGCACACUCAGGCUAGAGUAGUAUUGGGAUGGGUGACCACCCGAGAAGUCCUAGUGUUUCACAUGCC
rnacentral:rRNA from 1 species